UGGCAUGAUUAUAAAUAAUAAAACACUAGAACCCACUUAAAUGUUAUCAGUUCUACACUCACUAUUAGCUGAUUAUUUUCUCUCUUCUCUCACAUGCUUUAAAAAAAAUUAUAUCAUCUUCUUGUACAACCUUACAAGUUGUGAUGAACAACAUCGCUUCUACCAGCACUACAGAUUGCGAGCCACUACCAUUGUCAUCACCGACGUUGACUCCACGACCACCACUUCUCUUCUACAAUCACAGAUUUGAUAACCGAUGAAAUAGCACCAGUUUUUGAAAAAAAAAAUGGAAAUACACUUCUUACUUGGCUACCAUUACCGCCGAUUUACCACCAUUGUUUGCAAAAAAAAUAGAAAAACACUUCUUACUUGGCUACCACUAUCGCCGAUGGCGGCUCCACGAACAACAUUGACCUCCUUCAGUUCUAUCAUCUCUAUAUAAUGUCUCAGAUUUUAAGAGAGGGGUAGCGUGGCGGUGUGUGUGUGUGUGUGGGGGGGGGGGGGGGGGGGGGGUGCACUACUGACAACGUUAAACCACCUCCACAACUUGAACGUCUCAGAUCAUUAUGAUUUUGUGGUUCGUGCUUAUUAUUUUACACAUGAGUUCUUCAGAUCUGGCUUUGUAUUCUUCAUGUCUUUGAUCUUCAAAAGAAAUUUGUUGUUUUUCGUCUGUGGAUGUGCAUGUUUAGACACUAUCAAAUCGGCACAAUCGAACAUUAUCAGAUAUGCGAUAUCCGACAAACUGUUACCUCGACCUGCCAUCUCCAGUGAAUGGGCAUAAAACCCCCAUAUCUUAAGGUGGUGGGAGGAGGUUGAAAUCAAUACUUAGUGGUGGCAACAUUAGGUAACAAUGGCAGUGGUUAUUGGAAUUGUUAGCGGUAUGCUGGAAUAAAAAUAGAAGUGGUGGUAUAUGUGGUUAGUGGUGACAAUGAUUUGUGGCGGUAUGUGGUAACUUAUGAUGACGAUGGUGGUGGUGAAAGUUCUAAAUUAGUGUAUAAUGUUUUUAUUAAUUUGUGAAUAAUUGAUAUGUUUGUCAAACUGUAACUGUAAAUAUGAUGUUUGAGUUGUGAAUUUUCUUCGCUGAAACAUGAAAA